rnacentral:rRNA from 1 species
AUUGAACGCUGGCGGCAUGCCUUACACAUGCAAGUCGAACGGUAACAGGUCUUCGGAUGCUGACGAGUGGCGAACGGGUGAGUAAUACAUCGGAACGUGCCCGAUCGUGGGGGAUAACGGAGCGAGAGCUUUGCUAAUACCGCAUACGAUCUACGGAUGAAAGCAGGGGACCGCAAGGCCUUGCGCGGACGGAGCGGCCGAUGGCAGAUUAGGUAGUUGGUGGGAUAAAAGCUUACCAAGCCGACGAUCUGUAGCUGGUCUGAGAGGACGACCAGCCACACUGGGACUGAGACACGGCCCAGACUCCUACGGGAGGCAGCAGUGGGGAAUUUUGGACAAUGGGCGCAAGCCUGAUCCAGCCAUGCCGCGUGCAGGAUGAAGGCCUUCGGGUUGUAAACUGCUUUUGUACGGAACGAAACGGCUCUUUCUAAUAAAGAGGGCUAAUGACGGUACCGUAAGAAUAAGCACCGGCUAACUACGUGCCAGCCGCCGCAGUAAUAC